GCCAGCAUUGUCCAAUCAGGCUGUGAUUGGUUACAGGUUGUCCUCUACAACAUAUAACUACACGCCAUAGUUAUUUCUCUAUACUUCAUAUGUUCAAUGACUAUUAUGGCGGCUAAGUGCUGUGUAGUGUAAGUGACAGUUAAUGUGAAUGAGAUUAUUUUUCUCAGUAAGUGUUGUAGUCUACAUCAUGUAACUUAUUAUCUAGGGGGCUGUUCCUGGUUUUGCUGUUCUAGGAUGUUCAUUGCUAUCCCUAUCAACAAGCCUACAGGUUGGUCCAAGUCUACCCAGGAACUUCAACUCUAUAUGGUCCACUUGUCAAACCCAGCCAAAUGAACACCUACACACGUUACUUCCUUAAACAUGAACCCAUUUCUUCUGGUUCAAGCCUCCCUGGUCCUGUUGACUCUAGGAGCCCUAUUGAUGGGGGCUCCAAUCUUGGUAUUCAGAGUUUUGCUCCCCUGAAGACUACUGCUUCCCCUUACCUCGUUCCUCAGGCUCCUGAACAGACUGGAUGUCUUUCUGCAGGAGUAGCUUACCCUAGUUUUCUUCCUUUACCUCCACGGUGUGAGUCUUCACCAAGUAACUUCCAGGCAGGGGAAAUCUCUCAUUUUGAGUGUUUAUGAACAUGGCAACAGUCAGAGUGAGUUUGAAGACCAAUGGUUCCCACUUCCCGAGGGUGCAGUUGAGGCAGGUUCUAUUCCAGCCCCACUCCCUGCUACAAUAGCCCCACCCCUAUCCAAAGUUUAGACCAGAACCUAGCCAGGAAGGUCUUGAGGCUAAUUAUGGGGAGCUGUUCAUCACUAGGAAGUUCCCUGCUGGCAUCAUCACCCAUUUAAGAACCACAAAUGACCAAUGGAGCUCAGCUGGUUUCGUCAGGUACCAUCCUGCUCCCGUCCAAUACCGACCACUAUAUCCUCAUGCCCGCCGGCAGUGGCCGGUAGAAGGUUCUGUGUUAACCUGGAUCCUGCUGUUUAAUGGCUGCGUUGAUUGCUAAUAAACCUACUUGAGAAAUGUA